rnacentral:rRNA from 1 species
GACGAACCGGUCCGAACGUUAUUCGGAAUCACUGGGCUUAAAGGGGUGCGUAGGCGGCGCAGUUAAGUAGGGUGUGAAAUCCCUCGCUUAACCGAGGAACUGCGCCCUAAACGUACUGUGCGUCGAGGGAGAUAGAGGUGAGGCGGAAACUUAGGGUGGAGCGGUGAAAUGCGUUGAUAGUCCGUAAGGAACACCGGUGGCGAAAGCGGCU